rnacentral:rRNA from 1 species
GGCGAACGCUGGCGGCGUGCCUAAUACAUGCAAGUCGAGCGGACCGGAUUGGGGCUUGCCUUGAUUCGGUCAGCGGCGGACGGGUGAGUAACACGUGGGCAACCUGCCCGCAAGACCGGGAUAACUCCGGGAAACCGGAGCUAAUACCGGAUAACACCGAAGACCGCAUGGUCUUCGGUUGAAAGGCGGCCUUUGGGCUGUCACUUGCGGAUGGGCCCGCGGCGCAUUAGCUAGUUGGUGAGGUAACGGCUCACCAAGGCGACGAUGCGUAGCCGGCCUGAGAGGGUGACCGGCCACACUGGGACUGAGACACGGCCCAGACUCCUACGGGAGGCAGCAGUAGGGAAUCUUCCGCAAUGGGCGAAAGCCUGACGGAGCGACGCCGCGUGAGCGAAGAAGGCCUUCGGGUCGUAAAGCUCUGUUGUGAGGGACGAAGGAGCGUCGUUCGAAGAGGGCGGCGCGGUGACGGUACCUCACGAGAAAGCCCCGGCUAACUACGU